UUUCCGUAGGUGAACCUGCGGAAGGAUCAUUAUUGUAUAACCGAGGUGCGAGGGCUGUCGCUGACCCGAAAGGUCGUGCACGCCCGAGUGCUCUCACACACAUCCAUCUCACCCCUAUGUGCACCACCGCGUGGGUCCCCCUUUGGCUUGUUCGGAGGGGGGCUUACGUUUUCACACAAACUUUGUAUGCAGUGUAGAAUGUAUUUUUUGUUUUUGCGAUCACGCAAUCAAUACAACUCUCAACAACGGAUCUCUUGGCUCUC
rnacentral:misc_RNA from 1 species